rnacentral:rRNA from 1 species
UACGGGGGGAGCAAGCGUUGUUCGGAUUUACUGGGCGUAAAGGGCGCGUAGGCGGCCACCGCAAGUCGACUGUGAAAUCUCCGGGCUUAACCCGGAAAGGUCAGCCGAUACUGCGGGGCUAGAGUGCAGAAGGGGCAACUGGAAUUCUCGGUGUAGCGGUGAAAUGCGUAGAUAUCGGGAGGAACACCAAUGGCGAAGGCAGCUCGCUGGGACGUUACUGACGCUGAGACGCGAAAGCGUGGGGAGCAAACAGGG